rnacentral:rRNA from 1 species
CCUACGGGUGACAGCAGUGGGGAAUAUUGCACAAUGGGGGAAACUCUGAUGCAGCGACGCCGCGUGAAGGAAGAAGGAUUUCGGUAUGUAAACCUCUAUCAGCAGGGAAGAAAAUGACGGUACCUGACUAAGAAUCCCCGGCUAACUACGUGCCAGCAGCCGCGGUAAUACGUAGGGGGCAAGCGUUAUCCGGAUUUACUGGGUGUAAAGGGAGCGUAGGCGGUUUAGCAAGUCAGAAGUGAAAGCCCGCGGCUCAACUGCGGGACUGCAUUUGAAACUGUUGAACUGGAGUGCAGGAGAGGUGAGUGGAAUUCCUAGUGUAGCGGUGAAAUGCGUAGAUAUUAGGAGGAACACCAGUGGCGAAGGCGGCUUACUGGACUGUAAAUGACGCUGAGGCUCGAAAGCGUGGGGAGCAAACAGGAUUAGAUACCCUAGUAGUC